rnacentral:rRNA from 1 species
UGGGGAAUAUUGCACAAUGGGCGCAAGCCUGAUGCAGCAACGCCGCGUGAACGAUGAAGGUCUUCGGAUCGUAAAGUUCUGUUGCAGGGGAAGAUAAUGACGGUACCUUGUGAGGAAGCCCCGGCUAAUUACGUUCCAGCAGCCGCGGUAAUACGUAGGGGGCUAGCGUUAUCCGGAUUUACUGGGCGUAAAAGGUGCGUAGGUGGUCUUUCAAGUCGGUGGUUAAAGGCUACGGCGCAACCGUAGUUAGCCCCCGAAACUGGAAGGCUUGAGUGCAGGAGAGGAAAGUGGAAUUCCCAGUGUAGCGGUGAAAUGCGUAGAUAUUGGGAGGAACACCAGUAGCGAAGGCGGCUUACUGGACUGCAACUGACACUGAGGCACGAAAGCGUGGGUAGCAAACAGG